rnacentral:rRNA from 1 species
AAGACCUUGCGCUUUUGGAGCGGCCGAUGCCUGAUUAGCUAGUUGGUGGGGUAAUGGCCUACCAAAGCUUCGAUCAGUAGCUGGUCUGAGAGGACGGCCAGCCACACUGGGACUGAGACACGGCCCAGACUCCUACGGGAGGCAGCAGUGGGGAAUUUUGGACAAUGGGCGCAAGCCUGAUCCAGCCAUGCCUCGUGAGUGAAGAAGGCCUUCGGGUUGUAAAGCUCUUUCAGCCGGGAAGAAAAGGUUGCGAUUAAUAAUCGCAAUUUAUGACGGUACCGGAAGAAGAAGCACCGGCUAACUACGUGCCAGCAGCCGCGGUAAUACGUAGGGUGCGAGCGUUAGUCGGAAUUACUGGGCGUAAAGGGUGCGCAGGCGGUUUUGUAAGUCAGAUGUGAAAUCCCCGGGCUUAACCUGGGAACU